rnacentral:lncRNA from 1 species
CUGACUGGAGGGAGGGCCGCUAAGCCAGGGCGCAGCCGGAGGAGCAGGCUGGACUACUGCACCUUGGGUGUGUGUGCUGCCCGGCUCUUUGUCCUAUAGGUGUGGCCUUCCACUGACGCUGGUGACUCAGGAUGCACUUGAGCAUCAGGCCAGCCUCAGCUUGGAUCCCAGCCCAGCUCUGCAACCUGGGUUCGUUCAGCCUGGAAAGCGGAGGGGCUCGGUUGUAGCUCUGGGGCAGAGCCUUCGCCCAGCGUGUGCUAGGCCCUAGGUUCAAACCAGCAGGCACUUCCAGCGGGAUCUGUAUGUGAAUCUCUGAGCACCAUCUCCAGGGCCUGUCAAACACUGGGGGAUUGAUGGGGAGUUUGGCUGAUUGGGAAGCAGAGCCCAGGACUCCCUAAGUCUCACCCGCUGGGGACAGGCUGACCUUCAUUAUAUAUUGACAGCAAAGUGGACUUUUCCAAGGAAAACCAGUCCUUCCUUUGAUCUAGCACUAACAGCAUAGAUGAGCCUCCAGGGAGGGGAGGUGGAUUUGCAGUGCAACAUCUGCUCUGAAGAGUGGCCGCCAAGCGCUUGCUCCCAGAAAAGAGCUGAAAUCCUUGGCUCUGUGAGCUCCAGUGGGGAGGGGGUGCACACUCAGUGCCCGGAAAAGCUUUCUUCCCCAGGUAUCUCUGCCCUUAAGGCUUUGUUGUCCCUCUUGUCCUCCACCUCCACGGUCAGCUUGGGAAGAGCUACAGUAGCCCCUGCCACCCUCCAUCUGUCCCCAGUGCACAUGGCCAGGGGUGACCUGGUGAGAUGCUUCAAGUAGGACAGAAAUAGAGGAACAGGACAGAGGUGAACCCAUGCCCAGCUUCACCACUGACCAUCGGAAGAGCUCCGCCCUUCAGAUCUGCUGCUGGAGACCUUUCUGCAUCUGUGUGGGGCAGUGGGGGUGGCAGCAGGUGGACUCUGCCAAAAUGCUGGAUUUCAGAAGGUUCAGCAUCUGCUGUUCUCCCAGGUGGCUCGCUCCAUUCAAAUUUUGGGCCAAAUACUAUUUCUGUAGCAUGAAACCAGAAUGAUGAAUUGUUUGGUGCCAG